UACGUAGGGUGCGAGCUUUAAUCGCAAUUACUGGGCGUAAAGCGUGCGCAGGCGGUUUUGUAAGCCAGAUGUGAAAUCCCCGGGCUUAACCUGGGAAUGGCAUUUGGGACUGCAAGGCUUGAGUGCGGCAGAGGAGACUGGAAUUCCUGGUGUAGCAGUGAAAUGCGUAGAUAUCAGGAGGAACACCGAUGGCGAAGGCAGGUCUCUGGGCUGACACUGACGCUCAUGCACGAAAGCGUGGGGAGCAAACAGG
rnacentral:rRNA from 1 species